rnacentral:rRNA from 1 species
GAUGAACGCUGGCGGCGUGCCUAAUACAUGCAAGCCGAGCGAACGGACGAGAAGCUUGCUUCUCUGAUGUUAGCGGCGGACGGGUGAGUAACGCGUGGAUAACCUACCUAUAAGACUGGGAUAACUUCGGGAAACCGGAGCUAAUACCGGAUAAUAUUUUGAACCGCAUGGUUCAAAAGUGAAAGACGGUCUUGCUGUCACUUAUAGAUGGAUCCGCGCUGCAUUAGCUAGUUGGUAAGGUAACGGCUUACCAAGGCAACGAUGCAUAGCCGACCUGAGAGGGUGAUCGGCCACACUGGCACUGAGACACGGUCCAGACUCCUACGGAAGGCAGCAGUAGGGAAUCUUCCGCAAUGGGCGAAAGCCUGACGGAGCAACGCCGCGUGAGUGAUGAAGGUCUUCGGAUCGUAAAACUCUGUUAUUAGGGAAGAACAUAUGUGUAAGUAACUGUGCACAUCUUGACGGUACCUAAUCAGAAAGCCACGGCUAACUACGUGCCAGCAGCCGCGGUAAUACGUAGGUGGCAAGCGUUAUCCGGAAUUAUUGGGCGUAAAGCGCGCGUAGGCGGUUUUUUAAGUCUGAUGUGAAAGCCCACGGCUCAACCGUGGAGGGUCAUUGGAAACUGGAAAACUUGAGUGCAGAAGAGGAAAGUGGAAUUCCAUGUGUAGCGGUGAAAUGCGCAGAGAUAUGGAGGAACACCAGUGGCGAAGGCGACUUUCUGGUCUGUAACUGACGCUGAUGUGCGAAAGCGUGGGGAUCAAACAGGAUUAGAUACCCUGGUAGUCCACGCCGUAAACGAUGAGUGCUAAGUGUUAGGGGGUUUCCGCCCCUUAGUGCUGCAGCUAACGCAUUAAGCACUCCGCCUGGGGAGUACGACCGCAAGGUUGAAACUCAAAGGAAUUGACGGGGACCCGCACAAGCGGUGGAGCAUGUGGUUUAAUUCGAAGCAACGCGAAGAACCUUACCAAAUCUUGACAUCCUUUGACAACUCUAGAGAUAGAGCUUUCCCCUUCGGGGGACAAAGUGACAGGUGGUGCAUGGUUGUCGUCAGCUCGUGUCGUGAGAUGUUGGGUUAAGUCCCGCAACGAGCGCAACCCUUAAGCUUAGUUGCCAUCAUUAAGUUGGGCACUCUAAGUUGACUGCCGGUGACAAACCGGAGGAAGGUGGGGAUGACGUCAAAUCAUCAUGCCCCUUAUGAUUUGGGCUACACACGUGCUACAAUGGACAAUACAAAGGGCAGCGAAACCGCGAGGUCAAGCAAAUCCCAUAAAGUUGUUCUCAGUUCGGAUUGUAGUCUGCAACUCGACUACAUGAAGCUGGAAUCGCUAGUAAUCGUAGAUCAGCAUGCUACGGUGAAUACGUUCCCGGGUCU